AUUGAACGCUGGCGGCAGGCCUAACACAUGCAAGUCGAGCGGUAGCACAGAGAGCUUGCUCUCGGGUGACGAGCGGCGGACGGGUGAGUAAUGUCUGGGAAACUGCCUGAUGGAGGGGGAUAACUACUGGAAACGGUAGCUAAUACCGCAUAACGUCGCAAGACCAAAGUGGGGGACCUUCGGGCCUCAUGCCAUCAGAUGUGCCCAGAUGGGAUUAGCUAGUAGGUGGGGUAAUGGCUCACCUAGGCGACGAUCCCUAGCUGGUCUGAGAGGAUGACCAGCCACACUGGAACUGAGACACGGCCCAGACUCCUACGGGAGGCAGCAGUGGGGAAUAUUGCACAAUGGGCGCAAGCCUGAUGCAGCCAUGCCGCGUGUAUGAAGAAGGCCUUAGGGUUGUAAAGUACUUUCAGCGGGGAGGAAGGUGAUAAGGUUAAUACCCUUAUCAAUUGACGUUACCCGCAGAAGAAGCACCGGCUAACUCCGUGCCAGCAGCCGCGGUAAUACGGAGGGUGCAAGCGUUAAUCGGAAUUACUGGGCGUAAAGUGCACGCAGGCGGUCUGUCAAGUCGGAUGUGAAAUCCCCGGGCUCAACCUGGGAACUGCAUUCGAAACUGGCAGGCUAGAGUCUUGUAGAGGGGGGUAGAAUUCCAGGUGUAGCGGUGAAAUGCGUAGAGAUCUGGAGGAAUACCGGUGGCGAAGGCGGCCCCCUGGACAAAGACUGACGCUCAGGUGCGAAAGCGUGGGGAGCAAACAGGAUUAGAUACCCUGGUAGUCCACGCCGUAAACGAUGUCGAUUUGGAGGUUGUGCCCUUGAGGCGUGGCUUCCGGAGCUAACGCGUUAAAUCGACCGCCUGGGGAGUACGGCCGCAAGGUUAAAACUCAAAUGAAUUGACGGGGGCCCGCACAAGCGGUGGAGCAUGUGGUUUAAUUCGAUGCAACGCGAAGAACCUUACCUGGUCUUGACAUCCACAGAACUUUCCAGAGAUGGAUUGGUGCCUUCGGGAACUGUGAGACAGGUGCUGCAUGGCUGUCGUCAGCUCGUGUUGUGAAAUGUUGGGUUAAGUCCCGCAACGAGCGCAACCCUUAUCCUUUGUUGCCAGCGGUUAGGCCGGGAACUCAAAGGAGACUGCCAGUGGUAAACUGGAGGAAGGUGGGGAUGACGUCAAGUCAUCAUGGCCCUUACGACCAGGGCUACACACGUGCUACAAUGGCAUAUACAAAGAGAAGCGACCUCGCGAGAGCAAGCGGACCUCAUAAAGUAUGUCGUAGUCCGGAUUGGAGUCUGCAACUCGACUCCAUGAAGUCGGAAUCGCUAGUAAUCGUAGAUCAGAAUGCUACGGUGAAUACGUUCCCGGGCCU
rnacentral:rRNA from 1 species